AGCGAACGCUGGCGGCAGGCUUAACACAUGCAAGUCGAGCGGGCGUAGCAAUACGUCAGCGGCAGACGGGUGAGUAACGCGUGGGGAACGUACCUUUUGGUUCGGAACAACACAGGGGAAACUUGUGCUAAUACCGGAUAAGCCCUUACGGGGAAAGAUUUAUCGCCGAAAGGUCGGCCCGCGUCUGAUUAGCUAGUUGGUGAGGUAACGGCUCACCAAGGCGACGAUCAGUAGCUGGUCUGAGAGGAUGAUCAGCCACAUUGGGACUGAGACACGGCCCAAACUCCUACGGGAGGCAGCAGUGGGGAAUAUUGGACAAUGGGGGCAACCCUGAUCCAGCCAUGCCGCGUGAGUGAUGAAGGCCCUAGGGUUGUAAAGCUCUUUGUGCGGGAAGAUAAUGACGGUACGCAAGAAUAAGCCCCGGCUAACUUCGUGCCAGCAGCCGCGGUAA
rnacentral:rRNA from 1 species